rnacentral:rRNA from 1 species
UACGUAGGGGGCGAGCGUUACCCGGAUUUACUGGGCGUAAAGCGCGUGUAGGCGGCUGGCCAAGCGUGGUGUGAAAUCUUCGGGCUUAACCCGAAAACUGCAUUGCGAACUGGUCUGGCUAGAGUGUGUGAGAGGGUAGUGGAAUUCCCGGUGUAGCGGUGAAAUGCGCAGAUAUCAGGAAGAACACCCGUGGCUAAGGCGGCUCUCUAGUACGGUACUGACGCUGAGACGCGAAAGCGUGGGGAGCGAACAGG